rnacentral:rRNA from 1 species
GAAUAUUGGACAAUGGGCGAAAGCCUGAUCCAGCAAUGCCGCGUGAGUGAUGAAGGCCUUAGGGUUGUAAAGCUCUUUUACCUGGGAUGAUAAUGACAGUACCAGGAGAAUAAGCCCCGGCUAACUCCGUGCCAGCAGCCGCGGUAAUACGGAGGGGGCUAGCGUUGUUCGGAAAUACUGGGCGUAAAGCGCACGUAGGCGGCGAUUCAAGUCAGAGGUGAAAGCCCGGGGCUCAACCCCGGAACUGCCUUUGAAACUAGAUUGCUAGAAUCCUGGAGAGGUGAGUGGAAUUCCGAGUGUAGAGGUGAAAUUCGUAGAUAUUCGGAAGAACACCAGUGGCGAAGGCGACUCACUGGACAGGUAUUGACGCUGAGGUGCGAAAGCGUGGGGAGCAAACAGG